UACGAAGGGGGCUAGCGUUGCUCGGAAUCACUGGGCGUAAAGCGCACGUAGGCGGAUUGUUAAGUUAGGGGUGAAAUCCUGGAGCUCAACUCCAGAACUGCCUUUGAUACUGGCGAUCUUGAGUCCGGGAGAGGUGAGUGGAACUGCGAGUGUAGAGGUGAAAUUCGUAGAUAUUCGCAAGAACACCAGUGGCGAAGGCGGCUCACUGGCCCGGUACUGACGCUGAGGUGCGAAAGCGUGGGGAGCAAACAGG
rnacentral:rRNA from 1 species